GGAGAGAUGGCUCAGCGGUUAAGAGCACUGACUACUCCUCCAGAGGUCCUGAGUUCAAUUCUCAGUAACCACA
rfam:Rattus norvegicus chromosome 8, whole genome shotgun sequence.